CUGUCCACAGUUAGACAAACUGUCUAUAAAUGGAGAUGAUUUAGUACUAUAGGUACUCUCUCUAGAAGUGGCCGUUAGAUAUUCAUCUGUUCACAGUUAGACAAACUGUCUAUAAAUGGAGAUGAUUUAGUACUAUAGGUACUCUCUCUAGAAGUGACCGUUAGAUAUUCAUCUGUCCACAGUUAGACAAACUGUCUAUAAAUGGAGAUGAUUUAGUACUAUAGGUACUCUCACUAGAAGUGGCUGUUAGAUAUUCAUCUGUCCACAGUGAGACAAACUGUCUAUAAAUGGAGAUGAUUUAGUACUAUAGGUACUCUCACUAGAAGUGGCCGUUAGAUAUUCAUCUGUCCACAGUUAGACAAACUGUCUAUAAAUGGAGAUGAUUUAGUACUAUAGGUACUCUCACUAGAAGUGGCCGUUAGAUAUUCAUCCGUCCACAGUUAGACAAACUGUCUAUAAAUGGAGAUGAUUUAGUACUAUAGGUACUCUCACUAGAAGUGGCCGUUAGAUAUUCAUCUGUCCACAGUUAGACAAACUGUCUAUAAAUGGAGAUGAUUUAGUACUAUAGGUACUCUCACUAGAAGUGGCCGUUAGAUAUUCAUCCGUCCACAGUUAGACAAACUGUCUAUAAAUGGAGAUGAUUUAGUACUAUAGGUACUCUCACUAGAAGUGGCCGUUAGAUAUUCAUCUGUCCACAGUUACACAAACUGUCUAUAAAUGGAGAUGAUUUAGUACUAUAGGUACUCUCACUAGAAGUGGCCGUUAGAUAUUCAUCUGUCCACAGUUAGACAAACUGUCUAUAAAUGGAGAUGAUUUAGUACUAUAGGUACUCUCACUAGAAGUGGCCAUUAGAUAUUCAUCCGUCCACAGUUAGACAAACUGUCUAUAAAUGGAGAUGAUUUAGUACUAUAGGUACUCUCACUAGAAGUGGCCGUUAGAUAUUCAUCCAUCCACAGUUAGACAAACUGUCUAUAAAUGGAGAUGAUUUAGUACUAUAGGUACUCUCACUAGAAGUGGCCGUUAGAUAUUCAUCUGUCCACAGUUAGACAAACUGUCUAUAAAUGGAGAUGAUUUAGUACUAUAGGUACUCUCACUAGAAGUGGCCGUUAGAUAUUCAUCCGUC